ACGCUCGACACCUACGGGAGCAGCAGGUGGGGGAUAUUGCACAAUGGGGGAAACCCUGAUGCAGCAACGCCGCGUGAAGGAAGAAGGUCUUCGGAUUGUAAACUUCUGUCCUCAGGGAAGAUAAUGACGGUACCUGAGGAGGAAGCUCCGGCUAACUACGUGCCAGCAGCCGACGGUAAUCUGGAGGCGGGCUGGACGAAGGC
rnacentral:rRNA from 1 species